CGCGUAGGCGGGAGCGCAAGUCAGAUGUGAAAACUAUGGGCUUAACCCAUAGCCUGCAUUUGAAACUGUGUUUCUUGAGUGUCGGAGAGGUUGACGGAAUUCCGUGUGUAGCGGUGAAAUGCGUAGAUAUACGGAAGAACACCAGUGGCGAAGGCGGUCAACUGGACGAUAACUGACGCUGAAGCGCGAAAGCGUGGGGAGCAAACAG
rnacentral:rRNA from 1 species